GUGCACUCUUCAAUCAUUUGUUAUUCCGUUUUGACAUCUAAUCAAAUAUAGAGGAAAUCCAAGCAUUUGUCAUUUUGUUCAAACAAAACUACAAAUAUAAAAUGUCUUGCUGAACUCGACUAACCCUUUAAGCUGCAGUCAAUUCCAGCCAUUUUCAGUACAAAAAAUCGCUAACAUUCUAUUUGUAAAUAAAAAUAUGACGAGAAAUACAGGGAAUAUUGGACGCGCAUCGCGAGGUGCAUUUCCUUGAAAACGACCUAUUCGUGGAGUAUAUACCGACUUCAAGACAUGUUUUGGACAAAAUAUGUUACUGGCUUGUUUCGUCUGGAUGUCCAAGGUUGGAUUAUGUCCGUUUUUUGUGGAAUAUUUUCAUCCGUGUGUAAUAAUGAACCCGGAAAUGUGAGUCGUGCUGUGUACGUUGAAGCCGUGUAUAGAAAAUGGAUGGAUGGAUAUUCGUUGUUUGUCGGACAAAUGUGUUUAUAUUACCCGCUGUGGUAAUCACAUCUGAAAGUGGUUUAUACCGGCGGAUUCAUGAGAAUCUAAGCUUUCCAUCGGCGUAUAGUGUUUGUAUAAUCGUGUUUGCAGUUUCAGACAUUUAGCAAAUUGCUUAUGCAGAUCUCAAAGUGUACCGCAGCCGGGACACUGAAGCGCAACUGAAGCGCAACGGGCUAAGUACCAAAGACCAGAGCCCUCGAGAUAGUAAGAGUUGCGACACUCCUAUAGGGUGCCGUUGUAUGCUUUCUUUCGGUCUACUUCUGGGUUGUGGAGGCUUGUUUAGUUCCAAGCACCGCUUCGACAGUGAUAGCCACCGUUCAUUUGCACUGCAGGUUGUUGAGUAUAUGUGGAGUAUCCCGAGAGCCCUCACUGAAGACACGAAGACCCUCAUUGUUUCUCCCAUUGUCAAUAAAACAUACUAUUUCAUUCAUCAAA